CUGGAUUAAAAAAAAACACCAAAUAAACCCACACUCAAAAAUAUGUACAUAAUAAGAUAGGCUUCCGACUGUUCGGUAUACGUUUGAACUGUUGUCACAGUCAGGAAAAAAAAAAACGACAACCCCCCCACCAAAAAAAAAAAACAUACAAAAAAUUGGACACUUACACACAAGACGGCUGCAUACAUUAAAUCAUCGUUUCUCAGACUGUGAGGCGCAACCGACGUGCUGACAAAAGAGGGAGGGGGGGAACCGAUCAAUUUCUCUUUCAAAUAAAAGUUU